rnacentral:tRNA from 1 species
GCGGAGGUACUCAAGUGGUCAAGAGGGCUCCCUGCUAAGGAGUUAGGCGGCGUUAGCCGUGCGAGGGUUCGAAUCCCUCCCUCCGCGCCA